rnacentral:rRNA from 1 species
CGCCUCCCUCCGCCGCCACUCAGACUCCGUACGGGACGGCGAGCGAGGUGGGUAAGUUUUGGUCGUCAAGUACGGGGGAAACCGUGACGCAGCAACGCCGCGUGGAGGAGUGAAGCCCUUGGGUCGUAACGUCCUUUCGACCAAGACGAUAAUGACGGUACUGGUGGAAGAAGCACCGGCUAACUCUGUGCCAGCAGCCGCGGUAAUAC